UGCGUGGACGGCAGCGACGCAGCGUUGCCGUCAUCAUUGCACCGAAGGGUGACCAUCACAAGGCGGCAUUUUAUCCCCGCAAAGGACAUUAUGCCCACAUCGUCAUGCUAAUCUGCGACGCAGGCAUCGGAAUCCUGCCGUGAACCACUGAGUCUGGGAUCAGACUAUGACGCCCACGUCUGGCGGACGACGCGGCUGCGUGAGCGCAUCGAAGGGGCCCGGAUUGCCGCGGCCGUACCUUCUGGCUUCUAGGUGACAGAGGCUACAAACCAGGACCAUGGCUCCUGACACCUCUCCGAGGCUGUCCUCUCAGAAACGGUGUUAAAAAGGCAAGUGCUACACCGCACAUGCUGCAAUGCAGUCUGUAAUGAAGCGUUGUGCUGGGCGUUUGAAAAGCUGCUUCCGCUGCGUUCAGCAGUGCAGUUGUACCCUCCAUUAAGAAUCAGAAUGUGCAUCUCACAUUGCUGCAGCAUGUGCAGUGUUGCACUUGCCUUUACAUUGCAGAAGGUGACAGAAAUGUUCAUGAUUUCAGCGAGCGAUGAUUCCAAUAGUGAGCAUGGCAGUGUUGUCAGGGAUGACCCCGAACCACUGCUUAGACAAGGAAGGUCAUCACGCUCCUCAUGUAUUCCUGGACAAGCUGUCCGCAGUGGUAAUCCGCUAUUUGGCUAACUGCACCACUGACAACAGCACUAGGCAAGUGUCAUUUCAGUGAGAAACAUGUGCCUAAGAAGUAACAAUAAUAUAUGUGGUUUUCCGUGCCAAAACCAUGAUAUAAGUGUGAGCCACACUGCAGUGGAGGACUGAAUUUAUCUUGACCACCUGUGGCUCUUUAACGUGAAUCUCAAUGCAAGUACAGCAGUGAUCCUGCACGUUACCCUCAUGGAGAUGUGUUCGCUGUCAGCAGGAACCGACCCAUGCGCUGAAUGAAGCUUAGCAGCACGACUUCUUACCUGCUAAGAUGUUACCUAACAAGUAGAAGAAAACGUUUCGAAGUUAAAUUUCCUGGUAAUAAUAAAUUGCUGCUGGGUUUCAUCAUAUGCUGUAUGACCAGGUCUUUCGCAGAACUUGACUACACGUGACUGGGUCAUUUUUAUGUGGCCGUAGAUAGGAACUUUUCAUUUAGCAACUGUCAAUAUAACGCACUGGCAGCUGAGUGCUAUAGCCAAUUCUCUGGAAAGCAAGGGUUUGUUAUUGUUUUUGUUA